rnacentral:lncRNA from 1 species
UAAAGUUUAAAACAAAAAUAGGGAUAUAUACUAAUAUAAAUAUAAAAAUAAUAUUGUAAGAAGAAGCAAGGAAUUGAUUAUUUGCUAAUCUGUUAAACUGAAUAUUUUUAUUUUAUGUUUUUCCCUGUGUAUGCGACCAUUUAAAAUUCUUAACAAAAGAGCACCUAAGCAGCAAAAAAAUGUAAUAAAAGCAAAAGUGAAAUUACGAUUAAAAUUUUGAUUGAACUAUUGAAACUUUAAUUAAAAAUUAAAAUCAAUAUUGAGAUAAAAUACUCAGCUA